GAUGAACGCUGGCGGCGUGCCUAAUACAUGCAAGUCGAGCGAACAGACGAGGAGCUUGCUCCUCUGACGGUAGCGGCGGACGGGUGAGUAACACGUGGAUAACAUACCUAUAAGACUGGGAUAACUUCGCGAAACCGGAGCUAAUACCGAAUGAUAUAUUGAACCUCAUUGUUCAAUAGUGAAAGUCGGUUUUUCUUUCACUAAUAGAUGAAUCCGCGCAUCAUUAGCUAGUUGGUAAGGUAACGGCUUACCAAGGCUACGAUGCGAAGACGACCUGAGAGGGUGAUCGGACAGCCUGGAACUGAGACAGGGUCCAGACUCUGACGGGAGGACGCAGUAGGGAAUCUUACGCAAGGGGGGAAAGCCUGACGGAGCAACGCGGCGUGAGUGAUGAAGGUCUUAGGAUCGUAAAGCGCUGUAAUUAGGGAAGAACAAAUGUGUAAGUAACUAUGCACGUCUUGACGGUACCUAAUCAGAAAGCCACGGCUAACUACGUG
rnacentral:rRNA from 1 species